GAUGAACGCUAGCGGCAGGCCUAAUACAUGCAAGUCGAACGGUCAGCAAUGACAGUGGCGCACGGGUGCGUAACGCGUAUGCAACUUACCCAACAGUGGGGAAUAGCCCGGGGAAACCCGGAUUAAUACCGCAUAAGAAGAGUGAAGGGCAUCCUUUACUUUUGAAACAUUUAUGGCUGAUGGAUGGGCAUGCGUAAGAU
rnacentral:rRNA from 1 species